AUUGAACGCUGGCGGCAGGCCUAACACAUGCAAGUCGAGCGAGAGGCGGACGGGUGAGUAAUGUAUGGGGAUCUGCCCGAUAGAGGGGGAUAACUACUGGAAACGGUGGCUAAUACCGCAUACUAGCGGAUGGACCAAAAUGGGAUUAGCUAGUAGGUGGGGUAAAGGCUCACAUAGGCGACGAUCUCUAGCUGGUCUGAGAGGAUGAUCAGCCACACUGGGACUGAGACACGGCCCAGACUCCGACGGGAGGCAGGAGUGGGGAAUAUUGCACAAUGGGCGCAAGCCGGAUGCAGCCAUGCCGCGUGUAUGAAGAAGGCCGUAGGGUUGUAAAGGACUUUCAGCGGGGAGGCGUUACCCGCAGAAGAAGCACCGGCUAACUCCGUGCCAGCAGCCGCGGUAAUUC
rnacentral:rRNA from 1 species